CUUGCGAAAUUUAAUGUUUCAAAACUCACCCAACCAACAAGAGUAUAUCAAGUACCUAGUAUUCUUGCUUAGCAAGAACCCCAACUUUGCAGCUGAACCAAAAAAGGCACUUGCACGGAAACCCAGGCAGCUGUCAGAGGACAGAACCGCCCUUGAAAUGCUGAAAUGGGGAAAACAGCUUGAGAAUGUUGUGAGGCAAGACAGACUGACGUGAACGAUAUUUUCAUUUCCACUCACUUGGUGCCAAGUCAGGGCAAAGUUAGAAAAACAGUGCAUGAUGUGUGUAAAGUAAUACUGAAUGGAACAGUUCUGGAGGCAGGGAAGUCCAAGAUCAAGGGCCAGACAGAUUUGGUGUCCGGUGAGAACCCACUUCCUGGUUCACAGAUGGCCAUUUUCUCCUUGUAUCCUCACCUGACA